rnacentral:rRNA from 1 species
UGGGGGAUAUUGCACAAUGGGCGAAAGCCUGAUGCAGCGACGCCGCGUGGGGGAUGAAGGCCUUCGGGUUGUAAACUUCUUUUGCUCUGAACAAGGCAUGCUAAUGGGUGUGUUGAGUGUAGGGGUUGAUUAGCGCCGGCUAACUACGUGCCAGCAGCCGCGGUAAUACGUAGGGCGCGAGCGUUGUCCGGAAUUAUUGGGCGUAAAGGGCUUGUAGGUGGCUGGUUGCGUCUGUCGUGAAAGCUCAUGGCUUAACUGUGGGUUUGCGGUGGGUACGGGCUGGCUUGAGUGCAGUAGGGGAGGCUGGAAUUCCUGGUGUAGCGGUGGAAUGCGCAGAUAUCAGGAGGAAUACCGGUGGCGAAGGCGAGUCUCUGGGCUGUUACUGACACUGAGGAGCGAAAGCAUGGGGAGCGAACAGG